GAGAGGGCGAGGGAAAGAGAGAGCAAGAGGGUGCAGGUAGCGGGUGGGGAAAACCUCCUCUGUGAAAGGAUGAUGUCAGUCUCUGCAGCUCAGCCCCGGUUCCCAAUUCGAUGGGGUGAGCACAAUCUCUCAAGCAGACGGGAGUGUGCCAGACAAACCAAGAUGAAGAAGAAGAGCAAGAAAGAGAAGAAGAAAUAUGAAGGAAGGUCUGCUGUAUUAAUGAAGACCUGCAGCUCCCCUGCCAUUCCCAGCAGAGGAGACCUGCGCGACCCUCGGCCCGAGUGUCAUUACCGCUGACCAGCGGCUCGUCUCCUGCAGCCACUAUCCAUCCUCCCUUAGAGGCGACCGGGAGUUGACCGGAGGAUGUGGAAGGAGGAGAGUGACUGCAAGCUGCGCCGGGCAUCGCAUUAAAUUGAGAGGUAGCGCGAAUGUGGAUUGAUCCCAUAGGUUGGCACAACAACGAACAAGACUCAAUCACUAAAUAAAAUGAAUUUGCAACUUUGGAUCAUGACCAUCGCACACACUUUUUAGGCAGUGUUGAUUUGCUCAAUUGAUCGAAUGAUUAACAACAAAAACAUGUUUCAAGAAAUGUCGCCAACCAUCGUCCUAUGUUGGGCAUAUCGAAGGAUACACCUACAAUUAAUAUUAACUCUAUAUAAUGCAUAUUUGAUUGUUUCGCAAUAAUCAGAAACAUAAUAUUGACUUUUUUUUAUUUUGGCAAUUUAGUCAAUAGAUAUGGUAUUUCAUUUGUUGGGAUUUGAAUGACGGUAUAUAAUUUCAGAAAAGGAUUAAAUAUUUAGUUGUUAGUUCAUGCAUCACGGUCCCGCGAGAUCACAGAUUUUGUGUGUGUGUGUAAGUGUCAUUGCAGUGGUUAUUCUAUUUUGUUGGAGUGUGUUCGAAGACCUUAAAAAUUAAAGUACCACCAUUACAAUAAACACAUGCCGAGAGUGUAUUUCAAUAGGGUAUUUCUGUAUUGUGGAUUUCAUUUACUGGAGGCUUGGGCUGGAAUGUUACAUGAGCAAAGGAGGCGG